rnacentral:misc_RNA from 1 species
CUUAACCGUCCUUUCGUCCCAGUCCCAGAAAAUCCCCAAAAACCCCUAGCCACCACCGAAAGCCCCCAAAAUCCAACGCCGUGGAGCCAAAAGCAGUGAAAUCUGACAUAGUUCUUAUCCUGGACUAUGGCUUCCGAUACACCCAUCUUAUCACUCGCCGAAUUAGCUCUCUAAACAUCUUCUCUCUCUGCAUUUCUGGCACUUCUCCUCUCGAGGCCAUCACUUCGCUCAACUCCAAAGUCAUCGUCCUCUCCGGAGGGCCCCACUCGGUCCAUUCUCCUAAUUCCCCCACCUUUCCUUCUGGUUUCGUGGAGUGGGCCCAGUCCAAUGGUUGCUUCGUGCUUGGCAUUUGCUACGGAUUGCAUUUGAUAGUGCAGAGAUUAGGAGGGGAAGUGAAGUUUGGAGAAAAGCAGGAAUAUGGGAGGAUGGAAAUUGAGGUCGGAAGGAAUUUGGGUGUUUUUGGGAAAAAAAAAAAGUCAGGGAUAGGCAGGUAGUUUGGAUGAGCCACGGGGUUGAGGCUGCACAAUUGCCUGAGGGGUUUGAAGUAGUGGCAAGGAGUGAACAAGGGGCGGUUGCAGCGGUGGAGAAUUGGGAGAAGAGGGUUUAUGGGUUGCAGUACCACCCAGAGGUGACUCAUUCACCAGAGCGCAUGGAUACGCUACGCUAUUUUCUCUUUGAUGUUUGUGGAAUCAGUGCAAAUUGGAACAUGGAAAAUGUAGUAGAUGAAGAAAUCAAGGUGAUCAAAGGUACAUUAGGAGCUGAAGAUCAUGUCAUAUGUGCAUUGUCAGGGGGUGUGGA